rnacentral:tRNA from 1 species
GAGGGUAGAGCUCAGUGGUAGAGUGCAUGCCUAGCAUGCAUGAGGUCCUGGGUUCAAUCCCUGGUACCGCCA